rnacentral:rRNA from 1 species
AGAGUUUGAUCCUGGCUCAGGAUGAACGCUAGCGGCAGGCUUAAUACAUGCAAGUCGAGGGGCAGCAUGUCCCGUAGCAAUACGGGAUGAUGGCGACCGGCAAACGGGUGCGGAACACGUACAGAACCUUCCUUCGAGCGGGGAAUAGCCCAGAGAAAUUUGGAUUAAUACCCCAUAGUAAAUUAGAAAGGCAUCUUUUUAAUUUUAAAGAUUUAUCACUUGAAGAUGGCUGUGCGGCUGAUUAGGUAGUUGGCGGGGUAACGGCCCACCAAGCCUGCGAUCAGUAACUGGUGUGAGAGCACGACCAGUCACACGGGCACUGAGACACGGGCCCGACUCCUACGGGAGGCAGCAGUAAGGAAUAUUGGUCAAUGGACGAAAGUCUGAACCAGCCAUGCCGCGUGGAGGAUGAAGGUCCUCUGGAUUGUAAACU